GGGGGGGGGUCUAUGGGGUGGCAGGAGGGGUCACAGUGUGCUGGGAGGGCGGCUAUGGGGAAGCUGUGGGGCGGCUAUAGGGGCGCUACAGGGUGUGCCCUGGGUGCUAUAGGGCUCUAUAGGGCUCUAUGGGUGUGCUCCGGGUGCUACAGGGCUCUGUAGGGCUCUAUGGGUGUGCCCUGGAUGCUAUAGGGCUCUAUAGGUGUGCCCUGGGUGCUAUAUGGGCGCUAUAGGGUGUGCCCUAGGUGAGAUAUGGGUGCUAUAGGGUGUGCUCCUACCCACCCUUUAGGUGCCCUAUGGGUGCCCUAUAGCUGCCCUAACAGCCCCAUGGGUGCCCUACAGCUGCCCUACCCACCCUUUAUGUGCCCUAUGGGUGCCCUAUAGCUGCCCUAACAGCCCCACGGGUGCCCUACAGGUGCCCUACAGGUGCCCUCCCCACCCUUUAGGUGCCCGACCCACCCCUUUAGGUGCCCUAUGGAUGCCCUAACAGCCCCACGGGUGCCCUAUGGGUGCCCUACAGGUGCCCUACCCAUCUUUUAUGUGCCCUAUGGGUGCCCUACAGCUGCCCUACCCACCCUUUAGGUGCCCUAUGGGUGCCCUACAUCUGCCCUACCCACCCUUUAGGUGCCCUAUGGGUGCCCUAUGGGUGCCCUAACAGCCCCACGGGUGCCCCACAGGUGCCCUACAGCUGCCCUACCCACCCUUUAGGUGCCCUAUGGGUGCCCUAUAGCUGCCCUAACAGCCCCACGGGUGCCCUACAGGCUACUGCACGUUCUGCCCUCCACCGCCUGCAAUUCCGUGUGCGGCCACCAGGGGGCAGCACCCACUGCUCAUACAACUUCUGCCCUCCACCGCCUGCAAUUCCAAGGGCGGCCACCAGGGGGCAGCACCCCCCACUCCUCCACGUCCUUCCCUCCACCGCCUGCAAUUCCAUAGGCGACCACCAGGGGGCAGCACGCACUGCCCUCCACCGCCUGCAAUUCCAGCCAUGGCCACCAGGGAGCAGCACCCCCCACUUCUAUACCUUCCACCAUCCACCGCCUGCAGUUCCAAGGGUGGCCAGCAGAGGGCAGCACCCAUCGCUUAUACAACUUCUGCCCUCCACCGCCUGCAAUUCCAAGGGCGACCACCAGGGGGCAGUACCCCCCACUUCUACACGUUCUGCCCUCCACCGCCUGCAAUUCCAUGGGCGGCCAGCAGGGGGCAGCACCCAAAACUCCUACACCUUCUGCCCUCCACCGCCUGCAAUUCCAGAGACAACCACCAGGGGGCAGCACCCACUGCCCUCCACCGCCUGCAAUUCCAUAGACAACCACCAGGGGGCAGCACCCACCGCCCUCCACCGCCUGCAAUUCCAUGUGCGGCCACCAGGGGGCAGCACCCCCCACCACUCCUGCAACUCGCCUCGUUGCUCUGACCGCCUACCGAACCGAACCGACCCGAACCGCCCCGCCCCGACCCGCCCCAAUUCUCCCCUCCCACGAUCCUCACUCUCUCCAGGAAGACGUCCCUCUUGGUGAACUUCCUGACGGCCGUGAGGGUGUCCUGCACGAUGCCCAUCACCGGGCGGUUGGACUGCGGCGUGACGAUCAUGCGCGGCACCAUGGCCAGCUCCUGGAUCUCAGCCCGCGUCUCCAACGACUGCGGCAGGUGGAGGUUCAUCUCGUCCCCGUCGAAGUCGGCGUUGUACGGCGUGGUCACGCU
ensembl:lncRNA